rnacentral:rRNA from 2 species
AUCAGAGUGCUCAAAACAAGUGUUUGCUUGAAUAGCUCAUCAUGGAAUAAUGAAACAGGACUUCGGUUCUUUUUGUUGGUUCUAGAACUGAUUUAAUGGUUAAGAGGGACAAACCGGGGGCAUUCGUAUCAUUACGCGAGAGGUGAAAUUCGUGGACCGUAGUGAGACGCCCAACAGCGAAAGCAUUUGCCAAGAAUGUCUUCAUUAAUCAAGAACGAAAGUCAGAGGUUCGAAGGCGAUUAGAUACCGCCCUAGUUCUGACCGUAAACGAUGCCAUCUCGCGAUUCGGAGGGUUUUUGCCCUGCCGAGGAGCUAUCCGGAAACGAAAGUCUUUCGGUUCCGGGGGUAGUAUGGUUGCAAAGCUGAAACUUAAAGAAAUUGACGGAAGGGCACCACAAGGCGUGGAGCUUGCGGCUUAAUUUGACUCAACACGGGAAAACUCACCCGGUCCGGACACCAUUAGGACUGACAGAUUGAAAGCUCUUUCUCGAUUUGGUGGUUGGUGGUGCAUGGCCGUUCUUAGUUGGUGGAGUGAUUUGUCUGGUUUAUUCCGAUAACGAGCGAGACUCUAGCCUGCUAAAUAGUUGGCGAAUCUUCGGGUUCGUAUAACUUCUUAGAGGGAUAAGCGGUGUUUAGCCGCACGAGAUUGAGCGAUAACAGGUCUGUGAUGCCCUUAGAUGUCCGGGGCUGCACGCGUGCUACACUGGUGGACUCAGCGGGUUUUUCCUAUGCCGAAAGGUAUCGGUAAACCGUUGAAAUUCUUCCAUGUCCGGGAUAGGGUAUUGUAAUUAUUGCCCUUAAACGAGGAAUGCCUAGUAAGUGUGAGUCAUCAGCUCACGUUGAUUACGUCCCUGCCCUUUGUACACACCGCCCGUCGCUAUCCGGGACUGAACUGAUUCGAGAAGAGUGGGGACUGUCGCUUCGAGGUUUAACGACUUCGUUGUUGCGGAAACCAUUUUUAUCGCAUUGGUUUGAACCGGGUAAAAGUCGUAACAAGGUAGCUGUAGGUGAACCUGCAGCUG